UUCGGAUUGUAGUCUGCAACCCGACUACAUGAAGCCGGAAUCGCUAGUAAUCGCAGAUCAGCAUGCUGCGGUGAAUACGUUCCCGGGUCUUGUACACACCGCCCGUCACACCAUGGGAGCCGGGAAUGCCCGAAGUCGGUGACCCAACCGUAAGGAGGGAGCCGCCGAAGGCAGGCCUGGUAACUGGGGUGAAGUCGUAACAAGGUAGC
rnacentral:rRNA from 1 species